GAUGAACGCUGGCGGCGUGCCUAAUACAUGCAAGUCGAGCGAACGGACGAGAAGCUUGCUUCUCUGAUGUUAGCGGAGGACGGGUGAGUAACACGUGGAUCACCUACCUAUAAGACUGGGAUAACUUCGGGAAACCGGAGCUAAUACCGGAUAAUAUUUUGAACCGCAUGGUUCAAAAGUGAAAGACGGUCUUGCUGUCACUUAUAGAUGGAUCUGCGCUGCAUUAGCUAGUUGGUAAGGUAACGGCUUACCAAGGCAACGAUGCAUAGCCGAGCUGAGAGGGUGAUCGGCCACACUGGAACGUAGACACGGACCAUACUCCUACGGGAGGCAGCAGUAGGGAAUCUUCCGCAAUGGGCGAAAGCCUUACGGAGCAACGCCGCGUGAGUGAUGAAGGUCUUCGGAGCGUAAAACUCUGUUAUUAGUGAAGAACAUAUGUGUAAGUAACUGUGCACAGCUUGACGGUACCUAAUCAGAAAGCCACGGCUAACUACGUG
rnacentral:rRNA from 1 species